rnacentral:rRNA from 1 species
GAGGCCUACGGGGCGCAGCAGUAGGGAAUUUUCGUCAAUGGGCGCAAGCCUGAACGAGCAAUGCCGCGUGAACGAGGAAGGUCUUCGGAUCGUAAAGUUCUGUUGAAGGGGAAAAAGAGCGGAGAGAGGAAAUGAACUCCGAUUGAUAUUACCCUUCGAGGAAGUCACGGCUAACUACGUGCCAGCAGCCGCGGUAAUACGUAGGUGGCGAGCGUUAUCCGGAAUGAUUGGGCGUAAAGGGUGCGUAGGCGGCCUGCUAAGUCUGGAGUGAAAGGUACCGGCUCGACCCGGAAAG